rnacentral:rRNA from 1 species
AUACGAAGGUCCCAAGCGUUGUUCGGAUUUACUGGGCGUAAAGCGUGCGUAGGCGGCAAGGUAAGUCAGAUGUGAAAUCCCGGGGCUCAACCCCGGAACUGCAUCCGAUACUGCCUUGCUAGAGUAAUGGAGGGGCAUCUGGAAUUCAUGGUGUAGCAGUGAAAUGCGUAGAUAUCAUGAGGAACACUAGUGGCGAAGGCGAGAUGCUGGACAUUUACUGACGCUGAGGUACGAAGGCCAGGGUAGCGAAAAGGAUUAGAAACCCUAGUAGUCC